rnacentral:rRNA from 1 species
UACCAGACUCCUACGGGAGGCAGCAGUGGGGAAUAUUGCACAAUGGGGGAAACCCUGAUGCAGCGACGCCGCGUGAGUGAAGAAGUAUUUCGGUAUGUAAAGCUCUAUCAGCAGGGAAGAAAAAAGACGGUACCUGACUAAGAAGCCCCGGCUAACUACGUGCCAGCAGCCGCGGUAAUACGGAGGAUGCGAGCGUUAUCCGGAUUUAUUGGGUUUAAAGGGUGCGUAGGCGGAAUGCCAAGUCAGCGGUAAACUCGGGGGGCUCAACCGCGCUCCGCCGUUGAAACUGGCGUUCUUGAGUGGGCGAGAAGUAUGCGGAAUGCGUGGUGUAGCGGUGAAAUGCAUAGAUAUCACGCAGAACUCCGAUUGCGAAGGCAGCAUACCGGCGCCCAACUGACGCUGAAGCACGAAAGCGUGGGUAUCGAACAGGAUUAGAUACCCGUGUA